GAUGAACGCUAGCUACAGGCUUAACACAUGCAAGUCGAGGGGCAGCAUGAAUUUACUUCGGUAAAUUUGAUGGCGACCGGCGCACGGGUGCGUAACGCGUAUCCAACCUUCCCGUUACUCCGGGAUAGCCUUCCGAAAGGGAGAUUAAUACCGGAUGGUGUUUGAAGUCCGCAUGAAAUUCAAACUAAAGAUUUAUCGGUAACGGAUGGGGAUGCGUACCAUUAGAUAGUAGGCGGGGUAACGGCCCACCUAGUCGACGAUGGUUAGGGGUUCUGAGAGGAAGGUCCCCCCACACUGGAACUGAGACACGGUCCAGACUCCUACGGGAGGCAGCAGUGAGGAAUAUUGGUCAAUGGUCUGACGACUGAACCAGCCAUGCCGCGUGAAGGUCACGGCCCUAUGGGUCUUAAACUUCUUUUGCAAGGGAGCAAUAAGGUCUACGUGUAGAUCGAUGAGAGUACCUUGCGAAUAAGCAUCGGCUAACUCCGUGCCAGCAGCCGCGGU
rnacentral:rRNA from 1 species